rnacentral:lncRNA from 1 species
AUUUUAGUUCAAUUAGGUUAUUUUUAUUCAUUUUUAAUUGAUUAAAAAUAGUUUCUGACUUUUAACAAUGCUGAAAUUUUUUGUCAAACUUUGUUUGACCUUGUUGAACUUAGGAUAAAUUACUUGGACCUUUCAAGGUUGAUUUGAAGUAAUUUUGAAGUUUGACCUUUCCAUUUAUUUUUAAUUCAAGUUUAUUUUCAAUAUUAAAA